rnacentral:lncRNA from 1 species
AGCAAGACUCCAUCUCAAAAAAAAAAAGGCCAGCAUUAGUGAAGCAUUCACAUUUUUGUCAAUCUAUUCUCAUCUCAUGCUGUUCCUCCUAUAUUGUAUUAUCUCUAUCAUUAAAUAAGUGUCUUUUUAAAGGAAACACUUCAAGUUGAAGAAGAUGAUCGACCUGAGUUACCAUGGUGGAAAUGCAAGAAGUGGGCCUUACAUAUUUUAGCAAGACUUUUUGAAAGAUAUGGAAGCCCUGGCAAUGUUUCCAAGGAGUAUAAUGAAUUUGCUGAAGUAUUUC